CGGUCGCACUGAAAUUCCGUCACAAACAUUGCCAAGAAUCGACGUGAUUGCGGACAAAAUUUUGUUUUUGCACUUGCUUGAAAAUUUCGCCUCCAUCGACGAGCGCAGCGAUUGGGCCUGAUAUAUACCGCAUAUAGCCGUCUACGCCGCAAUUGUGCAACGGAUAACGAGAAUACGCGAAGAGCAGGCGUGCGAACGGGGAAAGCGCAGGGAAAAUGGGAAAAACUCCCACUUCGCCAGCGAACGAAAGGAAAGGGGAAAUUGUGUGAUGUCAUUUCGGCUGUUUCUUUUCGAGUUAAUUGAAACAACUUCCUGCGCUGCGUUUUCAGUUUCUGCUGCCAACUGUUUUAUACGCGCCUAUGUGUGCGUGCGGCAGUGCGCUGGUGUGUGUGUGUGACUUACAUACGUAUAUAAAUAUAGUGCAGAAUUAUUUGCCGUUAAAAGCCCACGGUUAAUUGGUCAUUAAGCGCUGUUUAAUUUACUAAUUUAGCGCGGUGAGAGAAGAGAGGAGAAAACCCGCAGCAAUAUCAUUCCGCACACACACACACGUUCGCAUUCACACGGAAAAGAGAAAAGGUGAAACGCACGCACACACACGCAAAAAGCACACCGCGAGUGGAGUUGUGUGAGUGUGGGGUUUCGAUAAAAAUAAUAAAUAAGAAAAAGCACUGAAGUACAACACAACAGUGCGGCAUAAACAAAUCGACUUCUAUCGAUUUCCCUCCAAAACAUAAAAUUGUAUCGAAAAGAUUCCGCCCAGGAUAGAAGCAACAACAGCAACAACGAGGAGAUUCACCUGCCACGCCCACGGGCAGCUGUACCGUCCACCUACACCUACAACACCACCACCACCACCACCCCUUCCCCGACCACUAAGGACACCAUCCAUCCAUCAUCAUGUCCAGCGGCAGCAACACGGACAACGGCCCAUCGGCGGGCCAAUCUGUGCAGGAUCUGCAAAUGGAGGUGGAGCGCCUCACGCGCGAACUGGACCAGGUGUCCUCCGCCAGCGCCCAGUCCGCCCAAUACGGACUGUCCCUGCUGGAGGAGAAGUCCGCCCUGCAGCAGAAGUGCGAGGAACUGGAGACGCUCUACGACAACACGCGCCACGAGCUGGACAUCACACAGGAGGCGCUGACCAAGUUUCAAACCUCACAGAAAGUGACCAACAAGACGGGCAUCGAGCAGGAGGACGCUCUGCUGAACGAAUCCGCAGCUAGGGAGACAUCGCUCAACCUCCAAAUCUUCGAUCUGGAGAACGAGCUUAAGCAACUGCGCCAUGAGUUGGAAAGGGUUCGCAACGAGCGCGAUAGGAUGCUGCAGGAGAACUCGGAUUUUGGGCGGGACAAGAGCGACAGCGAGGCGGAUCGCCUGCGCCUCAAGUCCGAGCUGAAAGAUCUUAAGUUUCGGGAGACGCGUAUGCUCAGCGAAUACUCGGAGCUGGAGGAGGAGAACAUAUCGCUGCAAAAGCAGGUAUCCAGCCUGCGCAGCUCACAGGUGGAGUUUGAAGGUGCCAAACACGAGAUCCGUCGUCUCACUGAGGAAGUUGAGCUGUUGAAUCAACAGGUCGACGAGCUCGCAAAUCUUAAGAAGAUUGCCGAGAAGCAAAUGGAGGAAGCGCUAGAGGCCUUGCAGGGUGAACGUGAGGCGAAAUAUGCAUUGAAGAAGGAGCUGGAUGGCCACUUGAACCGUGAGUCUAUGUACCACAUCAGCAACCUCGCCUACAGCAUACGCAGCAACAUGGAAGACAACGCCAGCAACAACUCGGACGGUGAGGAGGAAAAUCUGGCUCUAAAGCGUCUGGAGGCUGACCUGAGCACCGAACUUAAAUCUCCUGACGGCACCAAAUGUGAUCUCUUCUCGGAGAUUCACCUGAACGAACUAAAGAAACUGGAGAAGCAGUUGGAAAGCAUGGAAAGCGAGAAGACUCAUCUGACGGCGAAUUUAAGGGAAGCUCAGACGAGUCUGGACAAGUCACAAAACGAGCUGCAGAACUUUAUGUCUCGUCUGGCUCUUCUUGCGGCCCAUGUCGAUGCUCUAGUCCAGCUAAAGAAGCAGAUCGAUGUGAAAGAGCAGGGCAAGGAAGGUGACCAGAAGAAGGAUGAACUGGAGCAGCAGCUGCGGGCGUUAAUCUCGCAGUACGCCAACUGGUUUACGCUCUCCGCCAAGGAGAUCGAUGGCCUUAAGACUGACAUUGCUGAACUUCAGAAGGGACUCAACUACACGGACGCCACCACUACGCUGCGCAACGAGGUGACCAACCUUAAGAACAAGCUUCUUGCUACGGAGCAAAAGUCACUGGACCUGCAGAGCGAUGUUCAAACUCUGACGCACAUCUCGCAAAACGCUGGCCAAAGUCUGGGCUCAGCUCGCAGUACUUUGGUGGCCUUAAGCGACGAUCUGGCGCAGCUGUAUCACCUAGUUUGCACAGUCAACGGAGAGACACCAACGCGUGUUCUGCUCGAUCAUAAGACCGAUGACAUGAGCUUUGAAAACGAUUCUUUGACUGCCAUCCAGUCGCAAUUCAAAUCGGAUGUCUUUAUUGCCAAGCCCCAGAUCGUCGAGGAUCUGCAAGGCUUGGCGGAUUCCGUGGAAAUUAAGAAGUACGUGGAUACAGUCAGUGAUCAGAUCAAGUAUCUGAAGACGGCUGUUGAGCAUACCAUUGAUUUGAAUAAACACAAAAUCCGCUCCGAGGGUGGCGAUGCCCUGGAGAAGGUUAACACAGAGGAGAUGGAGGAACUGCAGGAGCAGAUAGUCAAGUUGAAGAGCCUGCUGUCCGUGAAGCGCGAACAGAUUGGAACUCUGCGCAACGUGCUCAAGUCAAACAAGCAAACCGCUGAGGUGGCACUGACCAAUCUCAAGUCCAAGUACGAGAACGAGAAGAUCAUUGUCAGCGACACCAUGUCCAAGCUGCGUAAUGAGCUCAGGCUUCUUAAGGAGGAUGCAGCCACAUUCUCAAGCCUGCGUGCCAUGUUCGCCGCUCGAUGCGAGGAGUAUGUGACCCAGGUGGACGAUCUCAACCGCCAAUUGGAGGCAGCAGAGGAGGAGAAAAAGACCCUAAAUCAGCUGUUGCGCUUGGCAGUCCAGCAGAAGCUGGCACUCACUCAGCGACUCGAGGAGAUGGAAAUGGACCGGUGGGUGCACUUGGGUCGUUAAACGUCAGCUGCAUCAACACUCGCAGUCACAAGCAAAAACACAUACAUCCUUUUAUUGAUUAGGGCUCCCAAUAUCCUUGUUUUCCCCUGAAACUUCCUUAAGAAUCCAGCAAUUGCGAAAUGCGCCACGUCCGUCGGCCGAUGCCUGCCCAGCGUGGCACGAGCGGCAAGUCCUCCUUCAGCACGAGGCCUUCGAGCAGGAAUCCAGC